ACUGCACAAAAUAAAAUCUUUUUAAAUAAGUUUGUACCAAAGAAAUAAAAUUAAGAGUUUAUAAAAAACAAAUAAAAUGAAAAAGGUGUGUGUGUGUGUGUGUGUGUGUGUGUUUGGUGUGGUGUGAUGUGUGACUAAAUUUUAAGAAAAAUAUUACCUUUUACACUUACCGUGCAAGGCUAUUUAUUGCAGCAUGAAAGAUUAUGAAGUGUAAAUCCAUUACAAUUGGAGUAAAUAGAGGAAAAAUUAUCUAACAUAUUUGUAUUUCCAAAAACAAUGUAUAUAUAUCUAUUUAUAAUACAUGCUGUAGACAUUAUAUCGUUAAUCUUUCAAUUAAGAAACUUGCACUUAUUACUUUCAUAAAGUGAAAUUUAUCCAUAUAAAAAUAAGGAUUUAUUUAUCAAUUUUCUAGCAACCGCAAUCAUGUAUUUUAUGAUAGGAAUGAUCACGAAAAAAGAAACCUUUAUAGAUCUUGUAUUAUCAACUUUGCAUUUGUAUAAGUUCUAAAAUGUGAGGAAAUGAUAAAGUACUUGGAACAUAUAUGUAUGUGUUAAUAAAAAUAUAUACAUGGGUCACAAAUAACAUUGGAUUUUCAUGCAGCACAAACAGAAAUAUCAUUACUAUGUAAUCAAACAAAUAGCUUUCAGAUAGAAGAGAUGCACAAAUAUAAAGGCAUUAAGUGCAGAAAGAAGUAAAUAUCCCAAUAAUAAAUCACAUAGACUGGUGCACUCUACCUUCCCAAUCCUGAAGCUGUUCGCAUGAAAUCAUCCGCAUGAGGUGACCAGAGCAGCAAUAAUAACAUGUUAUUUAUGAUGCAUUUAAUGCAGGGAUAUACGAAAAAUACAUGAAAUAGAAGAGAUAAAAAUAUAGAACACGUGAAUAUGUAUCAAUCCGAUCAAUUGCGAAUGUAAAUACAGUGAAUGUUUGCAUGUAACAAGACUUUAUGUAAAGUAGAACAAAGGGCUUAGACUAACAGUUGAUAAUAAUUUAGUUUACCAUAGAUCUCGGUCAAAGAUUGUAGCUCCGUUAGAAGUAAGUCGUAUAUAUAAUGAAAUAAGUUGUUGGCAAUAUCGAAUAUCAGUAAUUAUUAUUUUUAUCUCUUUUACAGCAUAUCGAAGUUAAAAAAAAAAAUCCUGUUGGUCACUAUGAAUAUAUAAAUAAUUAAUUACGCUCAGCGAAGAAAUAAAAGUACCUUCUUACCUGACGAGAGGCCCUAUUGUGCUAUCUUGGGGAAGUGAUUGCAGAAGCGAAGGUCCUGCCGAUACUGGUCGUAUCUAUAUUAAAAAGUGACUAAUUAACUGAUAUUAUUUAAUUACUACGUUCUGCAUCACGCAAUGAAUAGAAACAAAUAUACCUUUUCGGUUUGCGUGGCAGCAUUGCACAUAUCCACGAGUAAAGAUUUAUUAAAAUUGGCUGACGGAGUAUUACUUUCCAUAUCUGCACCGUUUGAAGCUUUGAGUUUUGUCAUUUGAAACUGAAAUGUAAUAUAAACCCAAUCGGUAGAACAUUUUUCUGUUUGCAUCAAUGAAGUUAAACAAACAUCAGAUAGUAUAAAAUUUACCUGAAGUAUUUGUAUAGUUCUAUCUCUAUCCUCUACUUGACCUUGCAAGAAGACCACCUGUCUACGUAAAUCCGUCAGCUCAUCGGCGAUACUGCUUCCUCCGCUGCCUGGAGACGUGCUAACAUCCGCUGUACCACCUUCGUUCAGGGUGUAGAAGAGACCAUUCUACGCGUAUAUAACAUGAGACGACAUGGAAAUCGCUUACCGAUAGUGGAUACAAUUGUUAUUGGGCAAUUAACGAUAUUAGCGUUAAAUAUUUUACUGACCUUUACAGUAUUAUCGAAUGGGUUGAGAGCCUCCGGCUGAAAAAUAAAACGUGCGAGGUCAUAUAUUGAUGUAGAUUAUAAUCUGACAUUUUUAGCUAAAAUACGUGAUAAAACAUACAGACUUAUAGAUAGAGUUUAACUUAAAAAAAGAAAAAAGAACAUAAGGACAUAACGAAUGCAACGUACCCUCGUCAAACUGUUCUCUCCUGACUUGAAACGUAAAAUGAAGGAUGACCGUACAAUAAUGAAAAAUAAAAAAGGAGUGUUAAUCGAAAAACAAACGAAACAACAACAAAAGCAUAAAAAAUAAAGAGACAUUCGACGUUGAGAAAUGAUCGAUUUUUGUUUUAAAUACCAAGUCGUGCAAAGGCUAGAUAGAAAAAAAGAAACAAAUUAAAAGGCAACGUUAACCAUCGUACCUCCUGAAGUACUCUUUUUAGUUUUAAGAGCAUAGUCUUAAGAGAGACAAUGUCUUGAAACAUGUACUGAAAGGUAGCACGGUCGAUCCUGAUGGUUGUGUCGUCGCUCGAGUCGAAACUGGGAGAUGGUAUCUAAAAUCAAAAUUAUAUCGAGAUAGAUCUAACCGAGCUAUUACAUCUUCCUUUUUACGUUUUAUUCGUCUUGGCAAAACACUCACACUUCUUGGUGUUCUUAGAGGACUUGGUAUCUGACGACUACGAAUGCUAUCCAACGAACGUGGAGACUCUGCACCGGACCUGCUUCGCAAUAAUCUUGAGUUUCUCCCAUUUGUGAUUCUGAAAUCAAUUACAAAGUAAGCGAUCAUUUUUUAUCAUUCACUCGUAUCGUGUUCUUUCGAGAGAUCGUUAUAUUUUAUAUUGCAUUAUUUUAUAUCGAGAUACCAAAUUAUUAUAUUUUAGAAAACUCGAAUAAACGAAGUGGAACCAUUUGAAAAAAUGUUACACCUUACAAAAAUUAAGUCGAUCGUGAGAAUUCUCGCGAAGUGGAAUUAUAGGUAAUGUUGAUAUUCGUGCAAAAAGAUACCUUCGCAACAUGCAAACGUGGGAUAAAACGCAGGAACGAUCAAAAUUUCGCUGCAACAUAGAAAACUUGGAUAAACUACCAACAUGCUUGCGAUUUUAUUCUUGAUCAUUUCUCCGCUAAAAAGUUUUUAUAUUCAAUAAUGUACGAUAAUAUUUCUUAAAAAGAA